UACGGAGGGUGCAAGCGUUGUCCGGAAUCACUGGGCGUAAAGGGCGCGUAGGCGGCCUGUUGCGUCCGCUGUGAAAGCCCGGGGCUUAACCCCGGGUCUGCAGUGGAUACGGGCAGGCUAGAGGUAGGUAGGGGAGAAUGGAAUUCCUGGUGUAGCGGUGAAAUGCGCAGAUAUCAGGAGGAACACCGGUGGCGAAGGCGGGUCUCUGGGCCGAUACUGACACUGAGGAGCGAAAGCGUGGGGAGCGAACAGG
rnacentral:rRNA from 1 species